ACAUCAAAUCGUACCCCAAACCGACACAGGUGGUCAGGUAGAGAAUACCAAGGCGCUUGAGAGAACUCGGGUGAAGGAACUAGGCAAAAUGGUGCCGUAACUUCGGGAGAAGGCACGCUGGUGUGUAGGUGAAGUCCCUGCGGAUGGAGCUGAGACCAGUCGAAGAUACCAGCUGGCUGCAACUGUUUAUUAAAAACACAGCACUGUGCAAACACGAAAGUGGACGUAUACGGUGUGACGCCUGCCCGGUGCCGGAAGGUUAAUUGAUGGGGUUAUCC
rnacentral:rRNA from 1 species